rnacentral:rRNA from 1 species
AGGCUUGAUCCUGGGCUCGGAUGGACGCUAGCGGCAGGCCUAAUACAUGCAAGUCGGACGGUAGAGAUUCUUUCGGGGAUUUUGAGAGUGGCGCACGGGUGCGUAACGCGUAUGCAACCUACCUUUUACCGGGGGAUAGCCCGGGGAACCCGGAUUAAUACCCCAUAGUAUCAGGAGACGGCAUCGUUUUCUGAUUAAAGAUUCAUCGGUAGAAGAUGGGCAUGCGUAGGAUUAGCUAGUUGGCGGGGUAACGGCCCACCAAGGCGACGAUCCUUAGGGGUUCUGAGAGGAAGGUCCCCCACACUGGCACUAAGAUACGGGCCAGACUCCUACGGGAGGCAGCAGUAGGGAAUAUUGGGCAAUGGUCGGAAGACUGACCCAGCCAUGCCGCGUGCAGGAAGAAGGCGUUACGCGUUGUAAACUGCUUUUAUACGGGAAGAAAAAGCAACUGCGGUUGAAAUUGCCGGUACCGUUAGUUAUAAGCACCGGCGUACAUCGGUC